ACUUUUAUAGUUUAUUUAUAAAACCUUACAUUUUCAUUGUAAUAAAGAAAAUUAAAUUUCUAAAAGAG
rnacentral:tRNA from 1 species